rnacentral:rRNA from 1 species
CACGUAGGGCGCAAGCGUUGUCCGGAAUUAUUGGGCGUAAAGAGCUCGUAGGCGGUUUGUUGCGUCGGCCGUGAAAACCUGCAGCUUAACUGUGGGCCUGCGGCCGAUACGGGCAGACUUGAGUUCGGUAGGGGAGACUGGAAUUCCUGGUGUAGCGGUGAAAUGCGCAGAUAUCAGGAGGAACACCGGUGGCGAAGGCGGGUCUCUGGGCCGUAACUGACGCUGAGGAGCGAAAGCGUGGGGAGCGAACAGG